CUAUCAACCAAACAGCGAACAGGUAACAUUAUACACUCAUUCGAUAGAUAGAAAUUAUAUGUUUCCAGCUCGCUACUUAGUCAAUAGGUAUCUUCCAAUAGAUAGAAAUUAUAGACUCAGGAAUGCAGGCGGCACGCACUAGUACCCUUCUCGGUACCAGCCUAUGUAGUCACAGACCACUGCUAUCCCUGGAGCAACGUGGAACAGUUGCCCCACACUCACCCACUACACAGGUAUCCUAGAGGCCACAGCAUACAACACCACGACCUAGCACCAAAACAGUGCAGAUACCCGCAGGGAGGCACACCUUGGGUGGGGAGGGAGGGCUGGGGCACCCCCCAACAAUGGACAUGGCGCCCAAUGAUAGACACCUUUCAGGAGUACACCUCAAAACACUGUUGGCUUCCUAGAGCGCACUUUCCCAGGAGACUCAAUAAAGCAGUAUCCGGGACCAUACUCUGCUCCCGCACUAGACACACUGGGACCCAGGAGACGCGGGCACACCCUCCACAUAGAACACCGGUGACAACACCACAAGCACCAGAGAGGCUAAGCACAAACGGCACGCCCUGGGAAAUAGAAGGACUUAGACAGACACACCCUGAGCACAUACAACCCCUAGGGCCCAAUGCAAACCGGGGCACCACCAAGGAUAUGAUCGGACCAAUACAGGGAGGGACUCACACUAACCUACACGACUUGCAAAGACAUGGCACCAGGCAACCGAGGGGCCAGGAAAGUGCAGCUACAAAUCAACCCCCCCAUUCCUUCAGCCUCCCAGCCCAGUGAUCCCCUAGGACUCCCCACAGAGAGACACCACAGGGGAAGACACGCAACACGGGAACCUCUGGACACUAAGGCAGAGGAAAUGUAUAUAACUAAAUUGAAGUUGAUGUUAAACUGUUGUGUUACAAUGUAAAACUGUUACUCAUCAUUUUUCAGCUAACCGACACACCCCACCCCACCUCACGUGCUGACGGACGCCACUUACAGCAGACGGCACCACGCCGACAUCUUACGACUGGACGGUGACAGCACACCCUCACCACCGCACCUAUAUUAAACCCGCUAACGACCAGACCAACGCCCCACGGGCUCACAAGGUACGACCCUGCACACACACGGCACGCUAUGUAGAGGGCUAACCUCACGGACGCAACGCCACCACAACGAUGACCGACCACAGCACAUACGGUAACGCGGGCGACUACUGAAAACUGCCUCUGGACGGCCCUGACCGGACGGUCGCCAAUCCCCGACACACACACACCUAACCGAACUCACGGGGAAACCCACGGAGCGGUCGGACGCUUCGCCCCACUACCUACUGGCUUUCGGAUAAGCCCAGUAGCACACUCUACCCAUAUCUCCCUUCCACUACCUUAACCCAGGCUAACACCC